AUUGAACGCUGGCGGAAUGCUUUACACAUGCAAGUCGAACGGCAGCACGGGGCAACCUGGUGGCGAGUGGCGAACGGUGAGUAAUACAUCGGAACGUGCCCAAUCGUGGGGGAUAACGUAGCGAAAGUUACGCUAAUACCGCAUACGAUCUACGGAUGAAAGCGGGGGAUCGCAAGACCUCGCGCGAAUGGAGCGGCCGAUGUCAGAUUAGGUAGUUGGUGGGUAAAGGCUCACCAAGCCAACGAUCUGUAGCUGGUCUGAGAGACGACCAGCCACACUGGAACUGAGACACGGUCCAGACUCCUACGGGAGGCAGCAGUGGGGAA
rnacentral:rRNA from 1 species